rnacentral:rRNA from 1 species
AGUGAACGCUGGCGGUAGGCCUAACACAUGCAAGUCGAACGGCAGCACAGUAAGAGCUUGCUCUUACGGGUGGCGAGUGGCGGACGGGUGAGGAAUACAUCGGAAUCUACUUUUUCGUGGGGGAUAACGUAGGGAAACUUACGCUAAUACCGCAUACGACCUACGGGUGAAAGCAGGGGAUCUUCGGACCUUGCGCGAUUGAAUGAGCCGAUGUCGGAUUAGCUAGUUGGCGGGGUAAAGGCCCACCAAGGCGACGAUCCAUAGCUGGUCUGAGAGGAUGAUCAGCCACACUGGAACUGAGACACGGUCCAGACUCCUACGGGAGGCAGCAGUGGGGAAUAUUGGACAAUGGGCGCAAGCCUGAUCCAGCCAUACCGCGUGGGUGAAGAAGGCCUUCGGGUUGUAAAGCCCUUUUGUUGGAAAAGAAAAGCAGCAGGUUAAUACCCCGCUGUUCUGACGGUACCCAAAGAAUAAGCACCGGCUAACUUCGUG